AGAAUCAACGCUGGCGGCGUGCCUAACACAUGCAAGUCGCACGAGAAAGGGGCUUCGGCUCUGAGUAAAGUGGCGCACGGGGUGAGUAACACGUGAAUAAUCUACCUCCGAGUGGGGAAUAACUGAGAGAAAUCUUAGCUAAUACCGCAUAACACUUACGAGUCAAAGCAGCAAUGCGCUUGGAGAGGAGUUCGCGGCCGAUUAGUUAGUUGGCGGGGUAAUGGCCCACCAAGACGAUGAUCGGUA
rnacentral:rRNA from 1 species